rnacentral:rRNA from 1 species
AACGAACGCUGGCGGCAGGCCUAACACAUGCAAGUCGAACGCCCUAGCAAUAGGGAGUGGCAGACGGGUGAGUAACACGUGGGAACCUUCCCUAUAGUACGGAAUAGCCCAGGGAAACUUGGAGUAAUACCGUAUACGCCCGAAAGGGGAAAGAUUUAUCGCUAUAGGAUGGGCCCGCGUAGGAUUAGCUAGUUGGUGAGGUAAUGGCUCACCAAGGCGACGAUCCUUAGCUGGUCUGAGAGGACGACCAGCCACACUGGGACUGAGACACGGCCCAGACUCCUACGGGAGGCAGCAGUGGGGAAUAUUGGACAAUGGGCGCAAGCCUGAUCCAGCCAUGCCGCGUGAGUGAUGAAGGCCUUAGGGUUGUAAAGCUCUUUUGGCGGGGACGAUAAUGACGGUACCCGCAGAAUAAGUCCCGGCUAACUUCGUGCCAGCAGCCGCGGUAACAC